rnacentral:rRNA from 1 species
UACGGAGGGAGCUAGCGUUGUUCGGAAUUACUGGGCGUAAAGCGCGCGUAGGCGGCUUUGUAAGUUAGAGGUGAAAGCCCGGGGCUCAACCCCGGAACUGCCUUUAAAACCGCAUCGCUUGAAUCCAGGAGAGGUGAGUGGAAUUCCGAGUGUAGAGGUGAAAUUCGUAGAUAUUCGGAAGAACACCAGUGGCGAAGGCGGCUCACUGGACUGGUAUUGACGCUGAGGUGCGAAAGCGUGGGGAGCAAACAGGG